UACUAGAGUAGCACUCGCAUAUCAAUAAGCGGAGGAAAAGAAACUAACAAGGAUUCCCCUAGUAACGGCGAGUGAAGCGGGAAGAGCUCAAAUUUGAAAUCUUAAAGGGUUUCCCUUACGAAUUGUAGUUUAAAGAAGUGUUUUCUGUUGAGGUUUUGGUAAGAGUUCUUUGGAAUAGGACAUCAUAGAGGGUGAGAAUCCCGUAUUUGACCUUUACUUUCAACUUUGUGAUACACUUUCAAGGAGUCGGAUUGUUUGGGAAUGCAGUCCAAAAUGGGUGGUAAAUUUCAUCUAAAGCUAAAUAUUGGCGAGAGACCGAUAGCGAACAAGUACCGUGAGGGAAAGAUGAAAAGAACUUUGAAAAGAGAGUUAAACAGUACGUGAAAUUGUCAAAAGGGAAGCGUUUGACACCAGUGUUGUUUUUCUGAAAAUCAAUUAAAGAACUGUUUAUGCUAAGUUGUUUAGACUUUAUCAGCUAUCUGUUUAGUUUUGAGCUUUUCUUUAAUGCACUUUUCAGUUAACAAGUCAACAUCAAUUUCUUUUGCUGUAAAAAAGCUUGAGGAAGGUGGCUUGAGAUUCGUCUUAAGUGUUUAUAGCCUCUUGCCUAUGCAGUCGGAGAGAUUGAGGUCUGCAGCGUAGAUCCUUCGGGGCUAAAUGCAUUUGUGCUAAGUUAUAGCAUUUUAUAGACAACUUGUUGACUAUGAUUUGUCUUGUAGCUUACUCGCUUAUGUUAUUUUACCUACGCUUAGGAUGUUGAAGACUCUACAGAGAUA
rnacentral:rRNA from 1 species